rfam:Myotis brandtii contig164877, whole genome shotgun sequence.
CUGGCUCUUACUUCAACAGUGUUUGGACGGAACAC